ACGAACGCUGGCGGCGUGCUUAACACAUGCAAGUCGAACGAUGAACCACUUCGGUGGGGAUUAGUGGCGAACGGGUGAGUAACACGUGGGCAAUCUGCCCUUCACUCUGGGACAAGCCCUGGAAACGGGGUCUAAUACCGGAUAACACUUCCCUCCUCCUGGAGGGUGGUUAAAAGCUCCGGCGGUGAAGGAUGAGCCCGCGGCCUAUCAGCUUGUUGGUGAGGUAAUGGCUCACCAAGGCGACGACGGGUAGCCG
rnacentral:rRNA from 1 species